UGGCUCAAUUCUAAAUCCCGAAACCGCAGGGAAAACGGACGCCAGAAGGCAAACUCAACAGGCGAUCCAAUGGCACAGCCAACCUCAACAGCCGAAACCAAAACCAAGAGGAAGGCCAACCCAACAUCGGGGCCCCCAGCACACCCCGGUAAACGGGUUAUCCACCAGACCACACAGAAAGCAGCCAACCUAAGUCCGCAGCCGAGACAAACCAGCAGAAGUCACCUGCAAAAGCCUACUAGGCGGAGCCACUUCCGUUCGGCAAUUGCAAAGGCGCUGCAAACUGGAAUCCCAGCACCACUCAGCACCUCUUAGUAAUCCCUGUCACUAUAAACGUACCGGCCCGGACAGAUACAAGUAUAGUGACAGCCAGUAAGCCCCCUCACCUUGUCAAGGUGGGAUACUCUCGAGG
rnacentral:lncRNA from 1 species